CGCGUAGGCGGUCUGUUAAGUGGGAUGUGAAAUCCCCGGGCUUAACCUGGGAAUUGCAUUUCAAACUGGCCGACUAGAGUACGGCAGAGGGAGGUAGAAUUUCCUGUGUAGCGGUGAAAUGCGUAGAUAUAGGAAGGAAUACCAGUGGCGAAGGCGGCCUCCUGGAUCGAUACUGACGCUGAGGCGCGAAAGCGUGGGGAGCAAACA
rnacentral:rRNA from 1 species